UACGAAGGAUGCAAGCGUUAUCCGGAUUCACUGGGUUUAAAGGGUGCGUAGGCGGAUAUGUAAGUCCGUGGUGAAAUCUCUGGGCUUAACCCGGAAACUGCCAUGGAUACUAUGUGUCUUGAAUGUUGUUGAGGUGAGCGGAAUAUGUCAUGUAGCGGUGAAAUGCUUAGAUAUGACAUAGAACACCAAUUGCGAAGGCAGCUCACUAAGCAAAUAUUGACGCUGAGGCACGAAAGCGUGGGGAUCAAACAGG
rnacentral:rRNA from 1 species